rnacentral:rRNA from 1 species
AGAGUUUGAUCCUGGCUCAGGAUGAACGCUAGCUACAGGCUUAACACAUGCAAGUCGAGGGGAAACGACAUCGAAAGCUUGCUUUUGAUGGGCGUCGACCGGCGCACGGGUGAGUAACGCGUAUCCAACCUGCCCACCACUUGGGGAUAACCUUGCGAAAGUAAGACUAAUACCCAAUGACGUCCAUAGAAGACAUCUGAAAUGGAUUAAAGAUUUAUCGGUGAUGGAUGGGGAUGCGUCUGAUUAGCUUGUUGGCGGGGUAACGGCCCACCAAGGCGACGAUCAGUAGGGGUUCUGAGAGGAAGGUCCCCCACAUUGGAACUGAGACACGGUCCAAACUCCUACGGGAGGCAGCAGUGAGGAAUAUUGGUCAAUGGACGAGAGUCUGAACCAGCCAAGUAGCGUGCAGGAUGACGGCCCUAUGGGUUGUAAACUGCUUUUAUAAGGGAAUAAAGUGAGUCUCGUGAGACUUUUUGCAUGUACCUUAUGAAUAAGGACCGGCUAAUUCCGUGCCAGCAGCCGCGGUAAUACGGAAGGUCCGGGCGUUAUCCGGAUUUAUUGGGUUUAAAGGGAGCGUAGGCCGGAGAUUAAGCGUGUUGUGAAAUGUAGACGCUCAACGUCUGCACUGCAGCGCGAACUGGUUUCCUUGAGUACGCACAAAGUGGGCGGAAUUCGUGGUGUAGCGGUGAAAUGCUUAGAUAUCACGAAGAACUCCGAUUGCGAAGGCAGCUCACUGGAGCGCAACUGACGCUGAAGCUCGAAAGUGCGGGUAUCGAACAGGAUUAGAUACCCUGGUAGUCCGCACGGUAAACGAUGGAU